AGUGGCGCACGGGUGCGUAACGCGUAUGCAACCAACCCAUUCCUGGGGGAUAGCCUUCCGAAAGGAAGAUUAAUACCGCAUAAUGCAGGGAACUGGCAUCAGUUUAUUUGCUAAAGAUUUAUCGGGAAUGGCUGGGCAUGCGUCCGAUUAGCUAGUUGGCGGGGUAACGGCCCACCAAGGCGACGAUCGGUAGGGGAUCUGAGAGGAUAAUCCCCCACACUGGCACUGAGAUACGGGCCAGACUCCUACGGGAGGCAGCAGUAGGGAAUAUUGGGCAAUGGGCGCAAGCCUGACCCAGCCAUGCCGCGUGCAGGAAGAAGGCGCUCCGCGUUGUAAACUGCUUUUGUCGGGGAAGAAACGACCCCUGCGGGGGGCAUUGACGGUACCCGAUGAAUAAGCACCGGCUAACUCCGUGCCAGCAGCCGCGGUAAUACGGAGGGUGCAAGCGUUGUCCGGAUUUAUUGGGUUUAAAGGGUGCGCAGGCGGGGGGGUCAGUCCGCGGUGAAAGACGAUCGCUCAACGAUUGCAGUGCCGUGGAUACUGCCCUUCUUGAAUCUGGUUGAGGCCGGUGGAAUUGACCGUGUAGCGGUGAAAUGCAUAGAUAUGGUCAAGAACUCCAAUUGCGAAGGCAGCCGGCUGGGC
rnacentral:rRNA from 1 species